AACGAACGCUGGCGGCAUGCCUAACACAUGCAAGUCGAACGAGACCUUCGGGUCUAGUUGCGCACGGGUGCGUAACGCGUGGGAACCUGCCCUUAGGUUCGGAAUAACUCCCCGAAAGGGGUGCUAAUACCGGAUAAUGUCUUCGGACCAAAGAUUUAUCGCCUUUGGAUGGGCCCGCGUUGGAUUAGCUAGUUGGUAGGGUAAAAGCCUACCAAGGCGACGAUCCAUAGCUGGUCUGAGAGGAUGAUCAGCCACACUGGGACUGAGACACGGCCCAGACUCCUACGGGAGGCAGCAGUGGGGAAUAUUGGACAAUGGGCGAAAGCAUGAUCCAGCAAUGCCGCGUGAGUGAUGAAGGCCUUAGGGUUGUAAAGCUCUUUUACCCGGGAUGAUAAUGACAGUACCGGGAGAAUAAGCUCCGGCUAACUCCGUG
rnacentral:rRNA from 1 species